rnacentral:rRNA from 1 species
AGCCUGAUCCAGCCAUGCCGCGUGUGUGAAGAAGGUCUUCGGAUUGUAAAGCACUUUAAGUUGGGAGGAAGGGCAGUAAAUUAAUACUUUGCUGUUUUGACGUUACCGACAG